rnacentral:lncRNA from 1 species
GCCUGCAUCAUGAAACAUGGCGAAACAAAUUGUUGCUAACUUGCUAUUUACUUAUUUUUCUGUGAAUUCUCAAUUGAACUUCGUUUGUAAAGUCAGUCCGUCAUUCCAACAAUUAAGUUGACUUAGUGCUCAGUCACUUUCCAUCCUAUUAGAUCGUUAUGAGUGUCAAAAGCCUGAAACUCAUAUUUGAAGCCUACAUACAGUGGAAUUAGACAAAAGUUCUUGUGCAUGGACCAUGGAUCUUUUCUGAAUCUUGCAAGUGUAACCUGUGUCAGAAUGUUUGUCGAGUGUAUGACUGUUUCUACAGCCGUUCAGAAGGCAACCCAGCUGAGAAAUAGUUCCAGUUUCAGUGAAUGUACAUGAAGAGUGUGAAGUGUAUUUAGUACAUUUACCAGAUCUGCUUGAUGAAAGUCAAAUGCCUUACUGAAUUCGUCACCCAAAUGAUAAAGGUAAACAUCAUUAUCACCUUUUACCAUGCUACUAUGAGUUAAUUUUGUUUAAGCUUCCUUUUAAUUCCCAACUCAU